CUAGCGGCGGACGGGUGAGUAAUGCUUAGGAAUCUGCCUAUUAGUGGGGGACAACAUUCCGAAAGGAAUGCUAAUACCGCAUACGCCCUACGGGGGAAAGCAGGGGAUCUUCGGACCUUGCGCUAAUAGAUGAGCCUAAGUCAGAUUAGCUAGUUGGUGGGGUAAAGGCCUACCAAGGCGACGAUCUGUAGCGGGUCUGAGAGGAUGAUCCGCCACACUGGGACUGAGACACGGCCCAGACUCCUACGGGAGGCAGCAGUGGGGAAUAUUGGACAAUGGGCGAAAGCCUGAUCCAGCCAUGCCGCGUGUGUGAAGAAGGCCUUUUGGUUGUAAAGCACUUUAAGCGAGGAGGAGGCUACUUGGAUUAAUACUCUAGGAUAGUGGACGUUACUCGCAGAAUAAGCACCGGCUAACUCUGUGCCAGCAGCCGCGGUAAUACAGAGGGUGCGAGCGUUAAUCGGAUUUACUGGGCGUAAAGCGUGCGUAGGCGGCUUUUUAAGUCGGAUGUGAAAUCCCUGAGCUUAACUUAGGAAUUGCAUUCGAUACUGGGAAGCUAGAGUAUGGGAGAGGAUGGUAGAAUUCCAGGUGUAGCGGUGAAAUGCGUAGAGAUCUGGAGGAAUACCGAUGGCGAAGGCAGCCAUCUGGCCUAAUACUGACGCUGAG
rnacentral:rRNA from 1 species